rnacentral:rRNA from 1 species
UGGGGAAUUUUGGACAAUGGGCGAAAGCCUGAUCCAGCCAUGCCGCGUGAGUGAAGAAGGCCUUCGGGUUGUAAAGCUCUUUUAGUCGGAAAGAAAGAGUCGCAAUGAAUAAUUGUGAUUUAUGACGGUACCGACAGAAAAAGCACCGGCUAACUACGUGCCAGCAGCCGCGGUAAUACGUAGGGUGCGAGCGUUAAUCGGAAUUACUGGGCGUAAAGGGUGCGCAGGCGGUUUUGCAAGUCAGAUGUGAAAGCCCCGGGCUUAACCUGGGAACUGCGUUUGAAACUGCAAGGCUAGAGUGCAGCAGAGGGGAGUGGAAUUCCAUGUGUAGCAGUGAAAUGCGUAGAGAUGUGGAAGAACACCGAUGGCGAAGGCAGCUCCCUGGGUUGACACUGACGCUCAGGCACGAAAGCGUGGGGAGCAAACA